rnacentral:rRNA from 1 species
GUGCAGCAGUCGAGAAACCUCCGCAAUACACGAAAGUGUGACGGGGCCAUCCCGAGUGCCGUCCGCUGAGGACGGCUUUUCCCCAGUGUACACAGCUGGGGGAAUAAGGAGAGGGCAAGCCUGGUGUCAGCCGCCGCGGUAAUACCAGCUCUCCGAGUGGUGGGGACGCUUAUUGGGCCUAAAGCAUCCGUAGCCGGCUGGGCAAGUCCUCCGUUAAAUCCAACGAUUCAAUCGUUGGGCUGCGGGGGAUACUGUCCAGCUUGGGGGCGGGAGAGGCCGACGGUAUUCCCGGGGUAGGGGUGAAAUCCUAUAAUCCCGGGAGGACCACCAGUGGCGAAGGCUGUCGGCUAGAACGCGCCCGACGGUGAGGGGAUGAAAGCUGGGGGAGCGAACCGGAUUAGAUACCCCUGUAGU